rnacentral:antisense_RNA from 1 species
CUUGAGCGAGCCCAACCAGAGCGGAUGGUCCGCGGAACGCUCCCGCCCGUAGGCGGCGAUCAGCGCUUGGGCCUC